AUUGAACGCUAGCGGGAUGCUUUACACAUGCAAGUCGAACGGCAGCGCGAGAGAGCUUGCUCUCUUGGCGGCGAGUUGCGGACCGGUGAGUAAUAUAUCGGAACGUGCCCAGUAGCGGGGGAUAACUACUCGAAAGAGUGGCUAAUACCGCAUACGCCCUACGGGGGAAAGGGGGGGAUCGCAAGACCUCUCACUAUUGGAGCGGCCGAUAUCGGAUUAGCUAGUUGGUGGGGUAAAGGCUCACCAAGGCAACGAUCCGUAGCUGGUUUGAGAGGACGACCAGCCACACUGGGACUGAGACACGGCCCAGACUCCUACGGGAGGCAGCAGUGGGGAAUUUUGGACAAUGGGGGAAACCCUGAUCCAGCCAUCCCGCGUGUAUGAUGAAGGCCUUCGGGUUGUAAAGUACUUUUGGCAGAGAAGAAAAGGUACCUCCUAAUACGAGGUACUGCUGACGGAUCUGCAGAAUAAGCACCGGCUAACUACGUGCCAGCAGCCGCGGUAAUACGUAGGGUGCAAGCGUUAAUCGGAAUUACUGGGCGUAAAGCGUGUGUAGGCGGUUCGGAAAGAAAGAUGUGAAAUCCCAGGGCUCAACCUUGGAACUGCAUUUUUAACUGCCGAGCUAGAGUAUGUCAGAGGGGGGUAGAAUUCCACGUGUAGCAGUGAAAUGCGUAGAUAUGUGGAGGAAUACCGAUGGCGAAGGCAGCCCCCUGGGAUAAUACUGACGCUCANACACGAAAGCGUGGGGAGCAAACAGGAUUANAUACCCCUGGUAGUCCCGCCCUAAACGAUGUCAACUA
rnacentral:rRNA from 1 species